rnacentral:rRNA from 1 species
CCUACGGGAGGCUGCAGUAAGGAAUAUUGGACAAUGGUCGGAAGACUGAUCCAGCCAUCCCGCGUGAAGGAUGACUGCCCUAUGGGUUGUAAACUUCUUUUAUAUGGGAAGAAACCCCUGGAUUUAUCUGGGGCUGACGGUACCAUAUGAAUAAGCACCGGCUAACUCCGUGCCAGCAGCCGCGGUAAUACGGAGGGUGCAAGCGUUAUCCGGAAUCACUGGGUUUAAAGGGUGCGUAGGUGGCUUGGUAAGUCAGAGGUGAAAGCCCGUCGCUC